rnacentral:rRNA from 1 species
CUACGGGGGGCUCCAGUAGGGAAUAUUGCACAAUGGGCGAAAGCCUGAUGCAGCAACGCCGCGUGUGCGAAGAAGGCCUUCGGGUCGUAAAGCACUUUUCUGGGAGAUGAGAAAGGACAGUAUCCCAGGAAUAAGUCUCGGCUAACUACGUGCCAGCAGCCGCGGUAAAACGUAGGAGGCGAGCGUUAUCCGGAUUUACUGGGCGUAAAGCGCGUGUAGGCGGUUUGGUAAGUUGGGCGUGAAAGCUCCCGGCUCAACUGGGAGAGGUCGUCCAAGACGACCAGACUAGAGAGCGAUAGAGGAAAAUGGAAUUCCCGGUGUAGUGGUGAAAGGCGUAGAUAUCGGGAGGAACACCAGUGGCGAAGGCGAUUUUCUGGAUCGUUUCUGACGCUCAGACGCGAAAGCUAGGGUAGCAAACGGGAUUAGUACCCCCGUAGUC